rnacentral:rRNA from 2 species
UGGGGAAUAUUGGGCAAUGGGGGAAACCCUGACCCAGCAACGCCGCGUGAAGGAAGAAGGCUUUCGGGUUGUAAACUUCUUUGACCAGGGACUAAACAAAUGACGGUACCUGGAAAACAAGCCACGGCUAACUACGUGCCAGCAGCCGCGGUAAUACGUAGGUGGCAAGCGUUGUCCGGAUUUACUGGGUGUAAAGGGCGCGUAGGCGGGUAAGCAAGUCAGAUGUGAAAUACCGUGGCUUAACCACGGGGCUGCAUUUGAAACUGUUUAUCUUGAGUAUCGGAGAGGCAGGCGGAAUUCCUAGUGUAGCGGUGAAAUGCGUAGAUAUUAGGAGGAACACCAGUGGCGAAGGCGGCCUGCUGGACGACAACUGACGCUGAUGCGCGAAAGCGUGGGGAGCAAACAGG